AUUGAACGCUGGCGGCAGGCCUAACACAUGCAAGUCGAGCGAGCGGCGGACGGGUGAGUAAUGUCCGGGGAACUGCCUGAUGGCGGGGGAUAACUACUGGAAACGGUAGCUAAUACCGCAUACCAUCAGAUGUACCCAGAUGGGAUUAGCUAGUAGGUGGGGUAACGGCUCACCUAGGCGACGAUCCCUAGCUGGUCUGAGAGGAUGACCAGCCACACGGGAACUGAGACACGGCCCAGACUCCUACGGGAGGCAGCAGUGGGGAAUAUUGCACAAUGGGCGCAAGCCUGAUGCAGCCAUGCCGCGUGUGUGAAGAAGGCCUUCGGGUUGUAAAGCACUUUCAGCGGGGAGGCGUUACCGGCAGAAGAAGCACCGGCUAACUCCGUGCCAGCAGCCGCGGUAAUUC
rnacentral:rRNA from 1 species